rnacentral:lncRNA from 1 species
UAGGUAAGGAAAAUUAUCUGGGAAGAGAUCACUCCCGGGUUUGGGAAAGGAAGGAUAUUGGAGGAACAUUAGAAGGGGACUUGGGGCUUUAGAGAACACUUAUAUUUUCUAAACACAAUCCAAUCCAAAAACACAAAUCUGAAUACACCUAGGCUGCUAGUUUUAAGGUUGACGUGCUUUCAAGACAUGUCUCAAAAAUCCACUAUGAUUUUUCUACCUUUGAUC